CGACCAGCAAGCCAGCAGCCCCAGCCCGCACUGGUCUCACCUUUAUUCUCUCGAUGGAGGCCUCCAGCCGCAGCUGCUGCACGGUCCUCCGGGCCUGGGCUAUGUUGUUGGUGCUGGUGGUCUUGCUGGACAUCUUUAAGAAGCCUUCUUCCCUAAAAUCUAAGGAGAAUGUUUUUGUUAUAGGCCACCACUGCCGAGCACUCCAGAGGCUACGAAGGAUGGAGUGAGGAGCAGGACCCGCCAUGCUCCUCCUCCUUCUCCCAAGCACCCUGUGGGUGUCGCCCCAUGGCCAGGGCCACCUCCUGAUCCCCGGAGUCUCAGCACCAGGCAGAGCCCUGGCUGGGAGAGGUGUGGAAGAGACCAGGCCAGGCCGCUGCUGGGAGCCGCUGGCGUCCACUUGGAGCCAAGAGAACAGAAAAGAGGAGCAGGCAGGUGCCCGCAACACAGCCGGCAGCAGCCGAGCACGGUGGGCAAGGCACUCUGGGGGUCUCACCUCUGAAUGCAGUGGUGAAGGUGAUAUGCUUCCAUGAGUUUGGACAACUGUUGCCGAGGCUGAGCACUCAGUCUGUGCUAGAAAGCGUCAGGAUGCCUGACCAUCCUGCCCGUGCCCUGCCCGAUGACAUCCCUGCACGACAGUGCUCUGUUCUUCAGGACCAGGGGCUCAGGGCUCUGAGGGGCGGAGCCAACGAGGGCUUCCGCUCCCAGCACGACACUCAGGAGCCCGAGGGGCCACCAGCUCUGAGCCUCAGCUUCUUCAUCUGUAAAAUGGGAAAGGCAACCACAGGCUCUGCCUCAAAGCGCUACAUCCACGAUGACCCGAGAGGACUGUGGAAGAUAGCAGCACGUACUGGACACAGUCUUGGCUCACAACUCUGACCAACGCACUCCACAUUCAGCCUUGACCUCUGACCUCUACUCCAGUGUCCAAAGCCAGGCCCACUUGAGUGGACACUUGAGCGAUCCGCCUUCCCAGCUCUCCUCCACUAGCCCCUCUGCCACACUGCCCUGCCAUGGAACAGCUGACCAUGGACUGAACCCUCUACAGACUUUGAGUCAAAAUAAACCUCUCUUCAUUUACAUCAUGGCUGUCAGGUGUCUUCCCCCAGCAACCUGGAAAGUGCCUGAGACACCAGUGAAGCACCACAAUCUGUCCCUGGCCUUUCUGAUGUCCUUUCUUAAGGAGCGACACCAUUCCGUCCUGACGACCAAGACGUCAACCCUCUUUCUGACUCCUAGACCCAGAGUGGCCUGAUAUGAAUGAGACGGGACUUCUAGGGACUUCUAGUGGCCACACAAAAGGGAAGAGGAAAAUGGAAAUUAACUUUAAUGCAGUUGAUUUAGCUCCGUGGGGGAGAGUUUAUGUUUUUGGCACUGGACCUUUGAACCUGGUGUUCUGCGCAUCUCGGUUUGCAGGAGCCACGGCCCAGAGCUGCACCAGACACCAACUGCUCACCACCAGUUCCCUUUCUGCUUGUUCCUCAGAAAGGCUGGCUCCCAGAGUCCCCGGGCUUUCCCAGGAUUCCCGGAGAAGAGUCCAAAGGGCCUGGCCCUGUGCUCCAGCCUCUCUUGGUGCUUCUGCCUGGGUGAUAAAGAUCCUAAUUACAAAAGCAGCUUAUCUCUACAAAGAGGUUAAACGCCAGAUACCAGCCACAGGCCAAGGAGCAGAUGGCAUAUCUCGCACCCUCAGGAGACCCUGCGGGGCAGGCUGGACCUUCACCCCCACCUUACAAAGGAGAAACUGAGGCCACAGGAGGACACGCCCAGGGUCAAGCAGUUGGCAAGCUGCCGGCCAGGGCUCUGGGCCUCCUGACAUUUAUGCACAGUGAUCGGUCCCUUUCACGGACUCCUGUUCUCUGCCUGUGACCUGCGGUCCAACGGCUCCGGGAUGCACAGGACAGGCGGGUUGUCUGCAGACUCCCUGAAAUUGUGUGCAGUUUGGCAUGGGCGCCUGUGUUUUCUGCCUGUUUUGUUCCUGACAGGGGUAAGCUGUUAUCAAACUCUCGGGAAGAACUGCAGCAUUGUGUAUUUCAGGCUCCUUUGCUAUGGAAGGCCAGUUGUUAUGUAACUGACUGUAAAUGUUGUCUUCCGACUAACCUGUUUGCCUGGUAUCAUAGAAAUUAUAUUUCUUCAUUUGUUACUAUGUGCUGCUAUCACAGCAAGUACCACAGCAAGUAUCUAUUAUGCUCUGCACCCCAAAGAGGUUGGAUUUAUCAUACAUAGUGAGACCAAAGUGCAGAAAGAUUACAUAUUUUGCCCAAGAUUGGCCAGCUGUUAAGUGGUAGAAACAUUUUUCUUUUUUUGAGACAAGGUCUUGCUGUGCAGUUCAGGCUGGCCUUGAACUUGUCUUGGAGCCCAGGCUGGCCUUGAACUUGCAGCAGUCUUCCUGCCUCAGCCUCCCGAGUGCUGGGAUUACAGGUGUGUGCCACCUCACCUGGUCAGAGAUAGGGUUUUAAUCCAAAUUUCCCUGACUUCAAAGCUGGGCCCUGACCUAGCAGGUGAAGUAGCCCUGGUGCCCUUCUCUCAGUUCAGCUAAUGCCAAGAAUGAGGCCUCUGUGGGUACCCAGUGAGGUGCAGACACAUGAUGUUGCCACCUGCAGGGCAGCUGUUGGGGAACACAGGGGUCCCAGGGGCGUCACCUCAGCCCCAGGGUGCAACGUGCUGCUCCUCCCUGAGGCCUCCUGCAGAAUACCUACUGCUCAGCUCAUGAAAUCCGCCUGCUUGGCUGUGGGCGCAGCUGGGAGACUCUGGGCCGAAUUCCUGGGGCUCCCGUGCACCAGAUCAGGCCCAGUGCCGACCCUGUGAACCCCAUCUCCCGUGUGUGGCCACGUGUGUGGCGCCAGGUUCUGAGGGCCACGUGUGUUAUUGCUUAACUAGCCCUCCUUUUCCCCCCAUUAAUUAGCUUUCGAAUGCUAAGGGAGGAAUGGAAGCCCACAAUCAACAUCUCAGAAGUCCAGGAAUCCAUGAUAAAGACUGUCCUUGAACCCAGGCAGUCACCAGGACCGGCUUCCCUCUUGGACAUCCGUGUGUAGCAUGCGAGUGUGCGCGGACCUGACCUUGGACGUGCAUGCGGAGCGUGCUGCCCACACUGCUGUGAGCCCUGUUUAUUCCGCCCAACGCUCGGUGCUGCUGAGCCUGUUCCAGUUGGUGCUCAGUGCUAAGUCCACUUUCCGGCUGGCACGCAGGAGCUCCAGAGGCCCGCAGCCAGGGAGGACAGGAGGCUGGAUGUGUCCUCCCUGCUCCCGCGUGCACCCGGAAGCUCGUGAGGUGGAGGAGAGGGGCCUGAGUGGAGAAGCAGAAGAGGAAAGCUUGUGCUACCAGGGACUUGCAGGAUGGUGACAGCGAGAAGUAGGGGUGCCCGGGACCCGGCCCCCGCGCCCUGGGCUGUGAUCCCAGGGACGGCCUCCCCCAGUAACAGGGCUCUAGGCCGCUGUCACAACCACAGCAGCAACCCCAGCACCUCGAGGGACCUCUUAAGAGACACCACUUGGAACCGAGCCAGGCCCUGAAUCAGAAACUGGGUGGCCCCAGGCGGUUCUGCCUCUUCCACUCCUGUUGAUUUCAGUGAAGGUCAUUUCCCUUGUUUUUUGCUUUCUGAGACAGGGUCUCAGUAUGUAGUUCAGGUUGCCCUUGAACUCAUGGCAAUCCUCCUGCCUCAGCCUCCUGACUGCUGGGAUUAAUGCUGAGCUUCUAACUCAUUUUCUAUUUAAAUUGACUAGAAUUCUCCCUCUAACAGCAGUCUAACAACUUUUUUAAAGUAAUGAGGGAACAUGUGGAAGGGGAGACGAAGGCAAGCCCCUGAAGUCCCCGACCUCAUCGGCAGCACCAGCACAGUUUAAAUCACGUGGGACCCAAAAGGGACACUUGUACCAUCACCCACUGUGUUUCGGAUACCACAGAACAUGUCCAGUUCUUCUAAGAGUGACGUAAAGUUUCUCAGAAGUAUCAGUUAAUUCAAUAGCAUUAAUUUAAAAAAAAUGAGUUAUGGAACUUUUAAGAAGGACUGUUGGGACCAACAAAGCAUCAGAAAACAUCGCUUAAAGCCACCAGAGGGGGAUUCCUAUGUAAACAUGCAGCGGGUCACCCCGGACAGGUCACUGGCUAAGUGCUCACUGAAUUUCACAAACAUGACCAUGGAAUCUGACAGAGGGGAGGGUUCCUGUCUGCAAGCCCCAGGAAGGAAUUUCUACAGGACUUUCAGCUCCAGAUUUUCCAGGCCAGACCAAUUUUAGGAGUUCUGCGGCGCCUCUCACUGCAGGUGCCUUAACUAGACCAUGAGCCCCACGAGCUGGCCUUCAACCGUGGGCACCAACUGCUCGAAAACACUCACACCUACCUCGCCCAUCUUUCCUUAAAUUGACUUCUCUGUCCGGUGGGGGCGCCCACCUGAGGUUACAUAUCUUUACACCUUCCACAGGCCACACACACGAUGUCUUUGCCUUUUUCUUGGGGCUGGGGCACAAUACGGGACGCCCACAACUAAAAGCAGAGGUUCAUUUUGGCUCCCAGUGUGUAGGUUCAGUCCAUGGUCAGCGGCUCCUCUGCAGGGUGGCACUGCAGGGUGGCGCUGCAGAGGGGCUGGCAGAGGAGUUGCUGGAGGCACAGCAUACAGGAAGCAGAGGGGGGCGGAGCCAGGGAGGGAGACGAACCCUUCCAGGCGCCGCCCCCAGUGACGCUCCUUCCCAAGGCCCCGCCCCUUCCCAAGGCCCCGCCCCCAGCGACACCUCCUCCCACCGGAAGCUACUUUGUAACAGCAAGUCAGUUCUAAGCCCCCAGAAUCCGAUCACCUUUUCAAAGCCCCAUCUUUGGGCAUAGGCUCUGGGGGGCCGCGAUACAGCCCCGCACACAACGUAAAUCACGCAGACCCUCACGGAAAGAGCUCCACCGUUCCUUGCAGCUCAGCUCGUUCAGGGCUGUGGACAGAGCAGGAACUCAGUCACUAGCACCUAAUGCGAUCAGCUGAUGGCACUGUACUUGAGGUGAGCCGCGACACAGGCCCGGCGCAGUCUGCAAAAGCCGGAAUUUCUGACGCGAAUUGGGACACUUAAAGAAUACUUUCCCAAAUGCACUGCACACCACCGCGGUGAAGUCGUGGAAACCGCUCAUUUAGCUCGGGGAAGCAGGAGCAGGUUCAGGGCCUAACCUCUGGGCCCCGCUGCCGUGCGCUGAGCAGAGCGAUCCUGGGCUCCUUGCACGGAGGCCCUGAGCAGGUCACACAAAUUCAACCGCGCUUCAGCAACAGCAGGACCUAUCUCCUCAUUCCCCGUGCAGUCGAUGACCGCGUGCCAGCAUGGGUGGGUCCCGGAGAGCGAUCGCAGCAGAUCAGCGUUUGCUGGCCAGGACCAAGUGGCAACUUCAGAGGGUCAAAGCGGGGUCUACCAGAAGUCCGUCCUGGGCCUCUCAGAAGCGCACGUUCACAGCACACAAUGGUCGUCAAAACAGGUGCAGGAUGUUUGUGUUAACCAGAGGUAAUGAGGUUGAUUUUCACAGACUGCAUGAAUACAUGCGUGCACCUCUUCUAAACCGCCUUUCCCUGUUGGGGUCAGCAUUUACAGACCAGCAGAUCCGGGGUGCACAGGACCCCUGGGGGCUUGAGGGGAUUCAUCACUGAGCAUCACUGCAGUGGCUGUGGAAACACACCUGAUUUUCAUGCCUACAUGCUGGCCUGUGUCUAAACUUCACCUCCGCCCUGGGAAUUCUGCUCUGACGGUGCUUCAUGGCCGUUUGUUGGUAAUGUGGUUACUUGUGUGCUUCUUUUCUUGUAUCUCCCACCCAACUUGAGCUAAUGGAAGACAAAGAUAGGCUAGUGCUACCUGUAAUCCCAGCACUCAGGAGGCUGAGGCAGGAGGAUCACCACGAGUCCAAGGCCAGUGUGGGCUACAUAGUGAGUUCAAGGCCAGCCUGAACUACCUUCUGAGACCCUGUCUCAAAAACAAAACAGAAAAGAUAGUCCAGUGCUCGCCUACUGUCGGACACUCGUUGGCAGCGGUCAGCACUCACACAUUAACAAGUGAGAGUGCAGAGUCUGCACACCUGUUCUGUUUUUAAUUUUUAUCGAGUUCAUGUUUGCAGCACACAAUGACUACAUUCACUGUGGAGAGUUGGUAUCGGACAUAACGAAUCUUAAUUGGGUUUCUCUUUAUGAGAAUCCCAAAUAUAAACAGUGAAGUAACAGAGAGGGGAUGGGAAACGGGGAGAGAGAUCUCCUCCAAAUGGGACAGAAGCUGCUUCGGGAUGAAUGGGGGCUGAAGACGGGGAAGCAGAGCUGCUGGUGGUUUAGCCGAGGCUGGGAUCCCGGAGGUUGGGCGUGGGAAAGGAAGAGCAGAAGUCUGCACCCCAUGCAACCCCCAGUGCCAACACCACACACCAGGGCUGGCUUGGGGCACUGGCUGCCGGCCUCAGUCCCCGUUUCUUGUCUGAGUCAGAGCUUCCUUCUCCCUGCAGAUCCCUGCAGCCCGGCAGCCACCAGCAGCCAUGCUACUCAGCCCCAUUUGGGGAGCCAGCUCAAAGUGUGUGCAUUUUCUUCUUCUUUUUUAAAUAGCCAAAGAAAUAUGUUGCAAAAUUCCAACUACAUAUGCAUUGUAAAUAGGAUAAAAAGUGAGAAUUCUCUGAUUUCACUCCCGUAGUCUUUUUUAUUUUACUGACCUUUAGACAGAGACAUUAUCUGCAUGGAUAGGGGUUUUUAAUCAGGUAGGAUCAUAUUUCACAGAGUUCUGCAAAUUGCAGCUUUAAAAAAAUUUUAGUUUUGAGACAAGGUCUCGCUAUGUAGCCCAGACUGGCCUCAAACUCACAGCAAUUCUCCUGCCUCAGCAUCCCAAGUGCUGGGAUUAUAGGCGUGCACCACCACGCCUGGCCGGAAAUUGCAUUUUUCAUCAACAAUAAACAUAUCAUGUGCAACCAGGCUUGCCUGGGCAGAGGACUGGUGUAUUUUUCUGAUUUUAAUUUCCCAUUUUGAGGCAUGUAAAAUUUAUAGAAAAGCAAAAUUGCAAGGUAACACAUGCCCCAGGUGUGUUCUGAAAACUGGUGCAUUCUUAGCUCAGAGCAUGCAGAGGAGGGAGAGGAAACCUCAGCACCUGGCUGGACUUUGCAGCCAGAGGCCCAGGUGGCUGCCCCAGUGCUCCCCUGAACCCCUCCCCGACAGUCCUGGGGACAGGUGGCCCUGGCCGGGGUGCACAGUUUGGCCUCCUGCAAGUGCAGGUCCAGUGUCUGCCAGGGCCAGACCUCGGGCUCCUCUCCCACCAUCCGCUCUUUGCAGACUCUUGGGGCCACCCCCACAUGUGGCCAAGCCCGAUAGCACCCUGUCCCCAGGAGUGCAGGACCCAGCCUAGAUUGGGCUGCUAUCUUCGGCCACCAGGUGAGGAGGGAGGGGGAGGCUAGGGUGUGACCCUCGGGCAUUUUCUCAGGGUCCAGGAAACUGAACUGUGGCUGCAGCCAGUGCCUCCGCUGCAGUGGGGUCUUUCCUCCCUCUGUGCAAGGGGAACGAGGAGCAUUUUCCUAUGUGUCCCGAGGUUCUCGGUUACUCUCCAAUCCUGUGGGUGUGCAGGGCAUGCACACUGGACUGUUGUCCCACUGCAGACGGGGUUGGAGGCAGCUGUGUCAUUUCCCUAGGGAGCAGCAGGCACGGAUGGGAGCCGGGCACUGUAGCUCCAAAGCCCACGAAGCCCGCAGGUGCUCCCUGCCUGCUCAGAGUGGGUGCUCUUUGUCAGAGCGGAUCCCCCAGCAGGUGUGCAGGAAGGAACAAGCCGCCCACAGCCGCAGAUAAGCGGCCCCGUUCCCGCAGGAGUUCAUUUGUGACCCGUGAGAGGCACGCGGUGUGCAGCACCUCCCCAUUCUCGGGGCUCAGAGGAAAGUCUCCCGAGCAGCUUCUCUGCAGGGCAGUGUCUUGAGUAAACGCCGGCGAUGGAGGGAGUUGUUAGGAGCAGGGCUGAAGGCUGCUUUGGGCCUGGCCCCUUUUUAACUGCAUGUCAAGCUCUACCUAACUUAGCCACCUAUAAGGGGAACACUUGGGCCAGGAGUUUGAGACCAGCAGGCAGCUCGGGGAGAGAAAGCACCUGUUUCAGCCCCAGUGGUGACACACAUCUGCUGGGAGGUGCCUGAGUCGCCUGCUGGGCAACACAGGCCCUGCCACCCCCUCUUCCUGUCCUGCCUGCCAGCACGGGGGAGGUGACAAACACAGCCAAGCUCCUGCAGCAGCCAGAGGCACCACCCCAGCCCAGUGUGGAGGCCCAGGGCACGAACCAGCUCGGGGCCCUGGCACCUCCUGCCACCUGCCCUUGGCCCAGGCGGCUCUGCACGCAGGACCUGCUUCCUGUUUGCCACCUUGCAAGUGAGCCUGGUGUUGGUCAGGGCCCAGCUGUGCCUGCAGGCACUUGUGGGUACUGCAGUUGCCGGGCAAUGCCUGGUUCCACUCGCUCCUGCAGCCCGCAGGCUUGGAUCCCGACACAAACCCUGGGCACAGUGGUCCUCACUGGGCUCUGCCUGUGCCAGGGAAGCCAUGCAUGUGGCGAGGACAGACACUUCCCUGGCAGGCACUGGGGACCUCGAGCCAACAAACUCUGGAGAUGGAAGGAGCCGGAGGACCAGCCAGACCCAGUGGGCCACAGUUGAGGCUCAACCCAGAAUCCCCUUGGGUCCCCUCAGCCUCAGUUUACCCAUCAGGAGGUGGAGCACUAGACCCUUCCUUUCCAGCAUUGCUGUGCGCACUGGAAAUCACACUUUUGCCUGCAGCAGUGGGCUGCUCUCAUCUCACACCUGGGGAAACUGAGGCUGGGGGAACAUCUGUCCUAGUAUUACAGCCACGGAGCCAAGAUUGGAACCCAGAACUAUUGCGUCCCCUCCUGAAACUUCAGUAGGCUUUUAAGCAUCUUUAAAGUGAUGUUUGCAGCUGAAAUUGUCUUAAUUUUUUUUUUUUGGUACCAGGGAUCGAACUCGGGUUCUUGCACUUGCACAGCAGGCGGCAAAUCCACUGGGCUAAAUCCCCGGCCCUAAAAUUGUCUUAAUUUUUACUGUGAGCAUUGUUCAGUUGGUAAAUUAGCUCUUAUGGAUUAAAGAUCUUACUUCAUUGA